rnacentral:rRNA from 1 species
UACGGAGGGAGCUAGCGUUGUUCGGAAUUACUGGGCGUAAAGCGUGCGUAGGCGGUCCGCGAAGUCUGAUGUGAAAGCCCCGGGCUCAACCUGGGAACUGCAUUGGAAACUAACGGGCUCGAGUGUGGCAGAGGGGGGUGGAAUUCCACGUGUAGCAGUGAAAUGCGUAGAGAUGUGGAGGAACACCGAUGGCGAAGGCAGCCCCCUGGGUCAAGAUUGACGCUCAUGCACGAAAGCGUGGGGAGCAAACAGG